AUGCAAGUCGAGCGGUAAGGCCCUUCGGGGUACACGAGCGGCGAACGGGUGAGUAACACGUGAGCAAUCUGCCCAUCACAUCGGGAUAACUCCGGGAAACCGAGGCUAAUACCGAAUACGACCACUUCAGGCAUCUGACGGUGGUGGAAAGUUCCGGCGGUGAUGGAUGAGCUCGCGGCCUAUCAGCUUGUUGGUGGGGUAAUGGCCCACCAAGGCUUCGACGGGUAGCCGGCCUGAGAGGGUGACCGGCCACACUGGGACUGAGACACGGCCCAGACUCC
rnacentral:rRNA from 1 species